UACGUAGGUGGCAAGCGUUGUCCGGAUUUAUUGGGCGUAAAGGGAGCGCAGGUGGUGAUUUAAGUCUGAUGUGAAAGCCCACGGCUCAACCGUGGAAGGUCAUUGGAAACUGGAUCACUUGAGUGCAGAAGAGGAAAGUGGAAUUCCAUGUGUAGCGGUGAAAUGCGUAGAUAUAUGGAGGAACACCAGUGGCGAAGGCGACUUUCUGGUCUGUAACUGACACUGAGGCUCGAAAGCGUGGGGAGGCAAACAGGAUUAGA
rnacentral:rRNA from 1 species